rnacentral:misc_RNA from 1 species
UUGCCAUGUGGCAGUUCAUGCCACCUGCUGCGGUGGACACGUCACAGGACCACGUACUCCGGCCACCCGUCGCAUAACUUGGUGGCAACCAAGGUUGCCAGAAAGAAACCAUUGGCAGCAACUGAUUGCUUGGGAUUUUGGCCCGGACCUUCAUUUUUAUUCUGCCAUUGUCAACCAAUAUAUUAGUAUUGUUAGUUAGUAGGCUCGCUUUUCAAUUGAUUUUGGGGUUGUCUGUCUUAUUUGUCAUUGGAUACUUGAAAG